GGCAACAGUGAGCUGCGGCGGCGGCGGCGGCGGCGGCGGCGGCGGGAAACCGAGGCUCCGGCGGGGAGGUCGCUCCAGCUCGGCAGGCGAAAACCGGGGAGGCGGCAGCGAAGGAUCCUCAGAAAUUCUUGAGGGAGGGAGCGAGGACGAUGGGAUACAGCUUGUAGGAAGAGCGAAAAGCAGACCGUUCGCCUGUACCAGGAUGGCCGAGUGGUUAAGGCGUUGGACUUAAGAUCCAAUGGACAAUGUCCGCGUGGGUUCGAACCCCACUCCUGGUACAAUUGCAGCUAAUUAAUGAACAACUUGAAUGCACAUCGCACAUUUGCUAAUCGUUCAAGUGAGAUAAAUGAUAAUGCCUCUAGCCUUCAUGAGUCUGUUCGGUUACAAAGAUGCCAGCUAGAGUGGGUCUCAUCUGAUUAGAAGAAUCAGGAUCCAGAAGCCCAAAGAGGCAAACACGCACAGCCUGCCUGCUCAUGCCUCUUCUUGAAACAUCUGCUUCCCACAUUUACUGAAGCCAGGUGGGCAGGAUUACAUCACUUCAACCUCCUUGCAUCAGUUGACUCAACAGGGCCAAUUAUGUUCUCUUUCAACCAUUUGCAAGGAUCCAUAAGGUCAUUUUCUGCUAUGUGCACAGAGAAGCAACACGAUCUGAUGUGUAAAGAGAUAAAUGGAUGAAGCACAUGCAGAGAAAAGCAAAGAUGAGUGACCAUGUGUCCAAAGAGAGGAAAAAACACCAGUGAGCAGCUGCUUUGGUCCCCAGUGCAUUUCCUAAUGCAAGUUUGUGACUUCAGGAAGCCUGGAUGAGUACUCUUCUGCUUGUACCUGUGAUCGAAUGGUCGCUGACACAAAAGGUUGCCUUUGACCUGGUCAUAUCAGUGUACCAACUCUUUAAGACCUGAAAGUCAGAUAGAAUGAGUCUUGAGCUACUCUAAGGUUUGAGUUUCUCCCUCUAACACUGCUGAUUCACGUGUCUCUAUGUUGAACUUAUGUAAUUGUUUUUUAAAAACUUUUAUUUGGGGGAUCCCUGGGUGGCUCAGUGGUUUAGCACUUGCCUUCAGCCCAGGGUGUGAUCCUGGAGUCCCGGGAUCGAGUCCUA